GUCCCCACGAAAAUGUUUAAGAAAAUUGGUCCUUAAGGUGAAUUUGUGAUUUAGAGGGGAAUCAUUAAUUGUGGGAUCAAAUAAAACACAAAAUGACAUGUAAUUGGUGUCCAUAAGACUCUAUACGUUUUCCUCGUUUGAGGGCCGAUGGUCCGAACGACCAUAAUUGGAGAAUUAUUUGGCGGCUCCCUAUUUCCACUUUCCUCCCUGAUUUCCGCUUCUUCUGCUUUUACUUAUUAACCCAAUGCCAGAGUUGUCCUCAAUUUUCUUCCACGCCCAGAAUGAUUUUUUUUUUCUAUUUCAAUAUUUUUCAUUCAUAUAGCAUCUGCCUGACAAUCCUUUCUCCUCAUUUUAUCUGUUCUUGUCUCUUUUUUUAUAUAUUUUUUGACGAUUAGUUGAUUUUUAUUUCCUUUCACGUUGUGCUAUUGUGGUGAUUUGCAGGGGAUAUCUCUGCCUGUAGAAUGGAGUCGUGGACUGCGACUGCCACUGCCAUUCCUUUAUAUGCUCAAAGUGACACUCUAGUGAUGUUCACCAAGUGUUUGUGAGAAUGUCCUUAGAAGACAAAUGCUAUAAACACAAUACUACAAAAGGCUAUGAGUUAGUCCUCGUGUCGCCUCCAGUUCUAUUUUUUUGAGUGUGUGGUUUCUAAUUGUUCUGUAACAAAAAAUUGUCCAUUGGCAUGGUUUUAAGUUUCAGAAAUAGUUCUAUAGGAUAUGGGUUCUGCAGAUAGACUAGUUUCUAGCAACUCUGUUUUUCUAGCGACUCUGUAACUAGUUUGCUUGUGUGGGCAGGCAUAGGUAGUCUGCUGGAAGCACCAGCAUUAUCUUCAAUGACUCAUUAAAGAAGCAAGCAGAACAAACUAACGUUUUUUUCAAACAGCCGCAUAACGCCCACUUACAAAAUGAGGAGAAAUACAUACUUGUCACUGUAUUAUAUGUAAAGUUUAAUUCAGAAAACAUAAUCUGUGCAGUUAAAAAUUCGAUUAAUGCCAUGCAUUUAACACAGCAUACAACACACAAGCGAUCAUUUGUUUUCGUUUUUUUUAAACCAAAACAUGUUUAAGCCUACAGGGGCCAAUGGUUUUUUUUGUUUUUUUGGCAAUCUAUUCGGAAGCUGAUGCAGUGAUGCGGACUAAAUCAACUCCAACAUAGACGUAACUUGCUCUCGUCCCAGGCUCCCAGCAUACUCUCCCUCUUUCCAAAACGCUUCUGCUCAAACAUAAAGCCCUUCGCCGCCACUAUCAUCUUCACAAAGAAACAGAAUGGCUGCACCGGUAGCCAAAUGGUACUAAAGCUGGCGGCGGCGGGCUCGGUGGUGGCGAAGGAGUCACUUCGCUGUCUACUCUUCAAGUAAGGCAGCUCCUCCCCAAGCAUUGGUAGGGUGCUCAGCCGGUGCUUGAAGGGUACCAAGCACUUCAACAAAUGGGAAAUCGGAAGAUCGUUAAAGGUGCUUUCAUUACGAAGGUGCUAUUUAGCCCUAAGCUUCUUGAAAUGGCUUCCAAGAGAGGUAUGAAUUUGACAGCAAGAGAUGAAGCAACUAAGAUUGAUCUUCUCUCCAAAAUAAAGGGGAUUGUUGUUGGGGAGAAAUAACAUAUCUUCCUCAACCAUUAAAAACCAUCACCCUUAUGGUGCUUUUCAUUUUUCAACUUUUACUGCAUGAGAAUAUAACCGAGAAAGUUGAAGCCCUCGUGGAGAAGAUGGAGGAGCAGAAGCUUGCUUUCUAGCCCCCUUGGCAUUCAAUAACUUGAUAACCCUUUGUUCAAAGGAUGGAAAGUCUGAAAAGGUUCCUGCUGUAAUUCCAGAUUUGAUGGCCAAGAAGGUCAUCCUAGACGUCUUCUCAUAUAAUGUUUGGAUGAGGAGUCCUGCUGCUGCCAGUAACAUUAUUGGAGUAGAAAAGGCUUUAGGUAAGUUGAAUGGAAAUGGCCGGGUUACUACCGAUUAGACCACCUUCAAUAAUAUUGCUCCAAUUUAGGUGAAUGCAGGUUUGAAGGAAAUGGCAGAGAAAGCACUUGAAGAAUUUGACAGUGAAAUGGAUGUGCAUUGUCUUCCUGCCUUUCAAUGCCUGAUCUUAUUGCAUGGUUGAACUGGUAAUUUGGCAGGAGUUUACUAUAUCUGGCAUUCUUUAAAAUUGACAUGCCUCAAAGCAAUCAACCUGAUCACUUGAAUACGAUCCGUGCACUGGUUAAUCUUGGUGACUUUCCUGGUGCUGAGACAUGUUUGAAAGAGUGGGAAGCUGGUUUGCACAAAAUAUGAUGUCAGAUUUGCCUAACACUGGUGAGAUAGCGAACGCAGAGGCAGUGUGUCAACAUGCUGUCAGUCAGGGUGCAGUGCAGAACACAAAGAUAUGUGAAAUUUGCUUUAAGCUAUUCAAUGCUGCAGUGAUGUGCAUGGAGGGUGCAAUCUCUGUAUCUGGAACGAGUGAUAAGAACAAUUGAACUCGUGCUCAAGAAAUGGUGGACUAAGACGAGUCGUUUUGAAGAGCAGCAUCAUGUAGAUGGUGUAAAAAAUUUGGUUCAAAUCCUGAAGAAGUUAGGCUGUGUUAAUUCUGCAGUUUACGAGUCACCGAUUAUAGAACAUAUUAUGCAGCUAGAAAAAAGAGCCUAGACAUGCGUCAGAGGCUGGAAACUGACAAUCUGGCAGCGAAUCCAAAGACUGAAAGAUGCCUCAAUUAAUUUCUACAUUGGCGAUAUUUCUUUUCCUUUUCCCGUAACGUUGUUUCUCUGCAGGCAAGCUCUUUAGAUGGAUGAGGCGAGCUUCUAUUAUGAUCGUCGUGUGAUUUCAUAGAAUUUGUUGGCAUUUGAAUGAUGAGAACAUUUUCUUUA